rnacentral:rRNA from 1 species
UACGAAGGUGCAAGCGUUACUCGGAAUCACUGGGCGUAAAGCGUGCGUAGGCGGUUCGUUAAGUCUGUUGUGAAAGCCCUGGGCUCAACCUGGAACUGCAGUGGAUACUGGCGAGCUAGAGUACGGUAGAGGAAGGUGGAAUUCCCGGUGUAGCGGUGAAAUGCGUAGAGAUCGGAGGAACACCAGUGGCGAAGGCGGCCUUCUGGACCAGUACGUGACGCUGAGGCACGAAAGCGUGGGGAGC